rnacentral:rRNA from 1 species
GAUGAACGCUGGCGGCGUGCCUAAUACAUGCAAGUCGAGCGAACAGACGAGGAGCUUGCUCCUCUGACGUUAGCGGCGGACGGGUGAGUAACACGUGGAUAACCUACCUAUAAGACUGGGAUAACUUCGGGAAACCGGAGCUAAUACCGGAUAAUAUAUUGAACCGCAUGGUUCAAUAGUGAAAGACGGUUUUGCUGUCACUUAUAGAUGGAUCCGCGCCGCAUUAGCUAGUUGGUAAGGUAACGGCUUACCAAGGCAACGAUGCGUAGCCGACAUGAGAGGGUGAUCGGCAACACUGGAACUGAGACACGGUCCAGACUCCUACGGGAGGCAGCAGUAGGGAAUCGUCCGCAAUGGGCGAAAGCCUGAUGGAGCAACGCCGCGUGAGUGAUGAAGGUCUUCGGAUCGUAAAACUCUGUUAUUAGGGAAGAACAAAUGUGUAAGUAACUAUGCACGUCUUGACGGUACCUAAUCAGAAAGCCACGGCUAACUACGUG